CUUGGUCAUUUAGAGGAAGUAAAAGUCGUAACUAGGUUUCCGUAGGUGAACCUGCGGAAGGAUCAUUAUCGUAAAACGGGGGCGCGGAAGGCUGUCGCUGACCUUUGAACGGGUCGUGCACGCCAGAAGUGCCCUCGCACACAAUCCACCUCACCCCUUGUGCAUCACCGCGUGGGGGCUCCUUUUGGCUCGUUCCAAAGGGGUGCUCACGUUUUAACACAGACACCCAUUAGAAUUCAGUGUAGAAUGUCUUUAUGCGAUAACACGCAAUCAAUACAACUUUCAACAACGGAUCUCUUGGCUCUCGCAUCGAUGAAGAACGCAGCGAAAUGCGAUACGUAAUGUGAAUUGCAGAAUUCAGUGAAUCAUCGAAUCUUUGAACGCACCUUGCGCCCCUUGGCAUUCCGAGGGGCACACCCGUUUGAGUGUCGUGACAUCCUCAACCUUCUUGGUUUUUUUGAUCAGGAAGGCUUGGAAUUUGGAGGUUCUUGCCGGCUUCCCCUUCGAAGCCAGCUCCUCUUAAAUGAAUUAGUGGGGUCCACUUCUGCCGAUCCUUGACAUGAUAAGAUGUUUCUGUGUCUUGGUAUAGGGCAAAGAAAACCCGCUUCUAACCGUCUCUUAGGAGACAUCGUUUUGACCCUUGACCUCAAAUCGGGUGAGACUACCCGCUGAGCUUAAGCAUAUCAAUAAGCGGAGGAAAAGAAACUAACAAGGAUUCCCCUAGUAACUGCGAGUGAAGCGGGAAAAGCUCAAAUUUAAAAUCUGGUGGUCUCUGGCCAUCCGAGUUGUAAUUUAGAGAAGCGUCUUCCGCGCUGGACCGUGCACAAGUCUCCUGGAAUGGAGCGUCAUAGAGGGUGAGAAUCCCGUCUUUGGCACGGAUGUCCCGGGGCUUUUGUGAUGCGCUCUCGAAGAGUCGAGUUGUUUGGGAAUGCAGCUCAAAAUGGGUGGUGAACUCCAUCUAAAGCUAAAUAUUGGCGAGAGACCGAUAGCGAACAAGUACCGUGAGGGAAAGAUGAAAAGCACUUUGGAAAGAGAGUGAAACAGUACGUGAAAUUGUUGAAAGGGAAACGCUUGAAGUCAGUCGCGUCGACCGAGACUCAGCCUUGCUUCGGCUUGGUGUACUUCUCGGCUUGACGGGUCAGCGUCAAUUUUGUCCCUCGGAUAAUGGCGAGAGAAAGGUGGCACCUUUGCGGGUGUGUUAUAGUCUCUUGUCGCAUGCGAGGGCCAGGAUUGAGGAACUCAGCACGCGCCUCUCGGCGUCGGGGCUUCGGCUCACGCUACGUGCUUAGGAUGCUGGCGUAAUGGCUUUAAACGACCCGUCUUGAAACACGGACC
rnacentral:rRNA from 1 species